rnacentral:rRNA from 1 species
UUAAACUGAAGAGUUUGAUCAUGGCUCAGAUUGAACGCUGGCGGCAGGCUUAACACAUGCAAGUCGAGCGGUAACAGGGGUAGCUUGCUACCCGCUGACGAGCGGCGGACGGGUGAGUAAUGCUUAGGAAUCUGCCUAGUAG